CAAGGAUAAGAAGCUUGGGCCCCAGGCCAAAGCUCAUGUCUGCCAUCAGCAAGAAGAUACAUGAUCACUGUGACCCCGCUAAGCUGUUUACCUUUGUGCUUAAACAGGAAUCAAUGCCUUCCGCAGUCCCAGGGCUGCUCUCCCUUUAACAGAACCCCACUGCCGGGUGGGUGUGACCGUGCCAGUCUCCAGUGAGGUGAGACUCCACACAGCUCCAUUCCUGCCAGCUAAGCUUUCCUUGUUGCCUAAGAGGCUCAGCAAGUCUGCAGUUGGCAUGGUGCAGGAUGAGAUCAGGGGAAGCAGUUCAGAGGAAAGAGCAAGCAUUCCACAGAUGGUUCCAGAAAGAAGUCCACUCAUCUUGAACACUGGAUUGGACCACUCUCGGGCACUGGACUAAGGACGAGGGAGAGCCAGCUGCCCUAACAUCACAUGGCACAGGGAGCACUCCAAUUCUGGAACAUGCACUGCUCAGUCACUCUAGUAGAAUAAAACCAGAGGCUUUGAAGUUCCAUCCCAGUUAUGACCCAGCACUUUGGCAUACUCUGGAGAAUACAGGACAAGCCAAGGAACACUCAGCUGAGCCUGUGUUGACUCAUCCCCAGAGCUAAAGAGUUCCCAUCCAAACUCAGAGAGUCUGGAUUCUGGAGUUGUAGAGAUCCCAAGAGGCUCCUUGGGGCAACUGAAAGCUAGGACAGUCACUGUGGCUUUAUCUAUCCCCUUUCCACCACCAAACAAUGUUCCUGAAGCUGUACAGGAAGUGGGGACACCAGAUAAGACACAGCAAGCAGAAUCUGUCCACUGAGAUUUCAGUGCAAUAAAUCUCAAGCAAGUUCAAAGCUCCCACUGCUUCAGAAAUGGCUUGUUAGGCAAGGAGAAUAAAAGUCUCUGUGCUGGCUAGUUUCAUGUCAACUUGACACAGAUGAAGUCAUCAAAGAGGAGGAAAUCUCAGUUGAGAAAAUGCCACCAUAAGAUUGGGCUGCAGUCAAAUCAGUAGGGUAUUUUCUUCCUUCCUUCCUUCCUUCCUUCCUUCCUUCCUUCCUUCCUUCCUUCCUUCCUUUCUUUCUCUCUCUUUCUUUUCAUUCUUUCUUUCUUUCUCCCCCCAUCCCCCACACCAUCUCAAGUGAUUGAUGGGGAAAGGCCCAGCCCAUUGUGGGUGGUGCCAUCCCUGGGCUGGUGGUCCUGGGUUCUAUAAGAAAGGAGACUGAGCAAGCCAUGAUGAACAAGUCAAUCAGCAGCACCCCUCUAUGGCCUCUGUAUCAGUUCCCACCUCCAAGUUCCUGCCUCCAGGUUCCUGCCCUGUUUGAGUUAAUGCACUGACUGACUUUGUAAUGAACUGUGAUGUGGAGGUUUAAGCCGAACAAACCUUUUCCUCCCCAAGUUGCUUUUGGACAUGAUGUUUCAUCGCGGCAAUAGAAACCCUAACUAAGACAGUCCCAGAUCUUGGCCCUGGAACUGUGUCUCAUGAGUGGAGAGAUGGGGUCCUCUCUGACUUUUCUUAUCUACGUACCAAGGAGUUAGGCUGAUGACCUCGGAGUCCAUCCAGUUGAGCAUUCCAGGUGGUUUUCUCUAAAUUCUGUUCAAGCGACAGGAUAAGAUGACUCUGUGCAGCCUGGCAGCGUGAAAAGCACAUUUCAGCUUUCACAGUGGCGUCCUCAAGCCCUGGAUCUGUCAGCCUGGCACCUUCUAGAUACAGCACUUAACCAUUUGCCAGCCUCUUACAUCACUGAGUUAACCCAAGUCUGGCUAAUUUAUGGAUUAGUUCUCCCAGAGCCUGGAUGUAGGGCCUGUCUUGAUGAGUCACUUUCUCAGAGUCAGGUGACAGAGCAGGGUAACUAGGCGGGGAGAGGGGGAUGGGGGGCUCUUCAUGUCAUCCUGUGAGUUGUAAGUAUGGUGCCCAGUGACACGGAGCAGCCAGUCUGCACAUAAUGCACUUUGUACUCUAUAAACGGCCCGUGUCCAGGUUGACACUCUGAGCCAGCUGUUCCCUUGGCUGCUCUCUCUGGAACCAGUGAGGCUUGGCCUGAAGUACCUAUUGGCAGAAGAAAGGCACUAAGGCCAAGCCCAAGGUGCCCAGAUGUGGUCUCUCUGCUGCCCUCCACUGGAAGGGCUACAGAGUGCAGGCAGCCCCAGAGGUCGCGGAGAAGGUGUGAAGCUUCCCCAGGAAAUCCCCCAGCCAGAGGAAAAUAGUGGCUCGUUCCUAUGUACUUCUCAUGUACAGAAUCGCACUGAAUGUGCACACUGCUAUUGUGCAGGUGUAUUAUUACCCUUAUCUCCCUCUACACAGGAGGAAACAGACCCUACCCGCCGUCGCCAAGUAAAAAAUGACACAGUCGGCUUUAAACAAGUGCCCUAAGUCCGCUCCUUCAAUCAGCAUGUCUUCUCCAGAGUGACGGCAGGUCACCUAGGAGUUACUCACCCAAACUAAAACCCACAUUUUGGGCUAGUAAGAUAACUCAGUAAAUUGCUUGCCCUGCAAACACUGAGACCUGAGUUCAAUUCUCAAAACCCACAUAAAAAGCCAAAUGUGGUAGUGUGUGCAACUUGGAGGUGGAAACAUGUGGAUUCCUGGUCUUGCUGGCUAGCCAAACUAGCUUAGUCAACAAUCUCUGGUCUUGUAAAAGACCCUGUCUCAAAAACCUGAGGAAAAAUGUCCUUUGGUGUUCACACGUACUUACACACACACACACACACACACACACACACACACACACACGCACACGCACACGCACACGCACAUUCACAUAUGAACAUAGACACCCAUGCACACCUGCAAUUGAACUUUCUUUGGACUGACAGCUUCCAAAUAAUGACAUGGAGACUUCUUAUUAAGUAUGAAAGCUUGUCCUUAGCUUAGGUUUGUUCCUAACCAGCUCUUAUAACAAUUUAACCCAUUUAUAUUAAUCUACAUUCUGCCACAUGGCUCGUCACCUCUCCUCCAUAGUGUAUGUCCGACUCUGACUUACUCUCCCUCUCAAUGGCAAAUCCCUCCUCUCUUCUUCCUGGAGUUCCUAUCUCUUCUUGCCCCACUCAUCCUCUCCUGCCUUGCUAUUGGCCGUUCAGCUCUUUAUUAAACCAAUCAGAGGGUGCCUUGGCAGAGACACAUCUUCACAGUGCACAAAAAGCUUAUCCCACCACACAUACAUACACAGAGAGAGGAAGAAGGAAAAGCAUCUUUUGUGACACUCUCUAAAGACUUUAUUUUAGUUGUGUGUUUGUGAACAUUUUGCCUGCAUGUACAUAUGUGUAGGACAUGUGUACCUGUGGAGGCCAGAAGAGGGCAUCUGAGCUGAAGUUACAGGUGGUUGUGCACCUCUGUGAGGGUGCUGGGAACCAAACCCUGGUCCUCUGCAAGAACAACAAGUGCUCUUAACCUCUGAACCGUCUCUCCAGCCCCUGGGAUACUCCUUUAAUGGGGGAAAUGAAACAAGUCUCCAGAAGCAAAAUGGAUUAAAUAAAUUAACCCAAAACCAAGACACUACAGCUCUGGAAAGAUGAGUCACGGGUUUGCAAGCUUAUAACUCUGGCUGUAUUGGAUCCUUUAAGUUCAGGAAGGAGUUGACUUCGAAGAUUAUGCAUUUCCCCAGGGGAUGAAGUAGCCAGCCGCCUUAGUACUUUGUCCAUCUGGGGAAAUUCAGACAAGCAAAGGGGACCUCUGACACAUCUUGCCGUCCUAUCAGAUUCUCUCCUGCUGCCACCCUGGUGGUUAAGGGUUUUAUCUUAUAAAACGGGGAUUAGCGUGUCUUCCUGUUCAUUAAAAGCUCACACAGUAGGCUAACAGCAGCACUUCCCACACAUCCACGGGGAUGGGCCCAGAUGGUUCUCCUCGGAGCCUCCCAGGAAUUUUAUAGGCACUUUGGCUUGAAACUGGAGGUCUUGACACGGCUUUUGAGGUCAGGUGCAACACUACAGAAUUUACUCAGGACAAGACCAAGGGCAGCAAGUGCAUAUCUAUCACUCCCAAUCACAGAGGAAAAUUAUAGGGCAAAUAUUGCUUUACCAAGCCCAUCAAAAGAAGUGGAGACUGCUGACGCCUCACUGCCUUGUCCAUGCCCACCUGGGGCCUGCUAAUCCCACAGUGAGGACCGUGAUGCCUGCUCUGCAUAUCAAAGGAGCAUUGAGGUUCAUGUAUGUCCAGCACUUCUUCAUCCCUAAAAGUGACUCUGGGAUCAGAAACCAGCUCAGCCCUUGGGUUUCUGAUAAAAUUUGACACCAUUCAGAGGGACAGCCAGUAAGUGCGGUGCAGGAAGAAGGGAAAUGCCGGAAGGGAUGCCAUUCCUCCACACCCACCUUCCCAAGGUCACCAUCACGAUCUUCUGCUAUUAAUACACCAGGGAGUGGUCCAGACCCAUUGAUCAGGGACGCCAUCGCACCCACCCUCCCGCCUGAGGAAAACGGUCAUUGCCCCUAAACUUUCCUCAUCCAGUUUGCUGCGGUCUCUCAUGGGAACCUGUGCAGAGACUGGCUGACAUUGUCUUCUGGGCUCCAGCCUAGUCAGUUCUGCCUAACGAGAGACCCCAGUUAGAGAAAUCAAAUGAUCUUCUCCUCUCAGGAAACUGAUUUCAAGAAUAAGAAGAAAAUGAGUCCGUUGGCAGCAGAGAGGCCUCACGGAUCUGUGCAGAGGAGCUAAGUGAGGCCUGCUGGCGCCACAGCAGCUGUGAACCCAAGUGCCUGUGCGGUGUCUGGCAGCCUACCUGCCACAGGUGGGUACCACACUGUGCUUAAGGUGAAACAUGGACCUGCUGCUGCAACGGAGGCUUAUAUUGUUACAACAGUGUUUGUCAGAGUUGGGAGGAGCGCUUCAUGGAGAGUGGCAGAAUCCCCAGUGUUUGUGCUGCAGGAACAAGGCAGAUUUACAGGGACAAGUGUGUGCCAACACGGCCACAUUUCUCAGGGCGUUGGUACAGGACAGAGAACGUCUGGGGCCUGUCUCAGCCCGUUUGCUGUCCUUGUACUGAGGUGAGCCGUUGCUUACGGGAGGAGAUUCGUGUAGCCCAGAGUUCCAGAGGCAAGAACAUUUAAGACAAGCUGCAUCUGCUUGGCUUCUGGUGAGGCCUUAAGCUUCUUCACUUCAUGGUGGAAAGCUGAAGAGCAAGUGGGUGCAUGCAAAAGACAAGGAGCACAGGGCAAACUCCCUCAGUAGUUAGAGCGUCCAUCCAUCCAUGAGGUCUCUUCUCUCUAAAGCCCAAAUACCUGCCCUGAGGCCCUACCUCCCAACAUGCCAGGGUGACAAUCAAGUUCCAAUAUAAAUUUCAGAGGGGAUAAACCCCAUUCACCUGGAGCAGGUCCAUACCAUUUAUCUUCCAGUGAAGGCAUAGGCUGGAAGAGUAGCCAAGUGAGUGUUGCAGUAAGUGGUAUAAUUUAAUUCCUUUAAAGAAUUGCCAAAAAAAAAAAAAAAAAUCUAGCAUUUGAACAUGUGCCAGCAUAUGCAUCAGAACCCUCUGGUUUCAAGUAACAGAAACCAACUCAAGUGAACUGACAUGGAAUUUGGUGAUUUCCACAACUGGAAAGUGAUCUAAGACCAGCCCUAACCUUGGUAAUGCUGGACACAUGUGCUCAACAUCACUCAGGAACCACAUCUAUCCCUCCAGCUGUGGCUCUUCUCUGGCUGGCAGGCCCCUUCCCAUAGGCCACGAAGUCAUCAACACUGACUUUCCAGAUCAGCAGCCUGUAUCCACAGUACUGGUCUCAUUGGUCCACCUUGGGAAACUUAUCCAUGAGUGAACCAAUCAUAGAGCUUGGGAGGAACAGCCGUCUGAAUGGCCUGAUGUAGGUCACGGACUUAGUUGUAGAUCCAGCGAAUGUUGUCAGCCCCACCAGAACACAGGGCCUAACAUAGAAAAUGGUUGUUGCCUGAGAGACACUGAGCAGGCAGUAAUCAUAACUUCUACAUCAAGCAUGUACUUGGAGGACGAAGAUCCUUGAACUGUCUUUAACAACCAAAUGAUUUUGAAUUUAGUGUGUGUGUGUGUGUGUGUGUGUGUGUGCCCACACAGUGCUGGGAUUCAAAGCCGGAGCUCUGUGCAUGCUAGGCAUAGCUUCCUGAUCUCAGUCAUUAUGAAGUUUAACUUUCACAGUGAAUUUAUCAGUUGAGGGUCUUACAAACAUGUGAGUCUCACUCUGGUUGAUUUAAAUAGAAGUCAUAUUUAUGAAAGCAUAUUAACGGCUGACAGAGUCUCCACAUGAUUCAGAGUGAAAAAGAAAUGGGCUCUGAGUUCAUGAGCAGUGCAGAGCUCCCCACCCACCUGGUGAUAGGCCUUUGCUGCAUUCUGCUGUGAGUAUCUUCGUCCUCUGCCACACCCUACCUCCAUCACUGAGACACAAUCCCAUGUUGAAUCUGUCCCUUGCUUUUUUCUCUUCCAGACUGAAGUCUCAUGAUGUCCAGUUGGUGGGUAUAGCCUAGAUCACAUGCUGAGGACUUGCCACAAAUGAGUUCAUAACAGAGUGAGAUGCCCCAGUGAGAUGCCACCGACAACAUGGCUGUGUUCACCAGCUUUCUGUUACUGUAAUGAAAGACCUGAAGCAAUUAGCUUACAAAGAUAAAAGGCUUGCUUUGUCUUAUAGUUCCAGAAGGCCCAGUCCAAGACUGGGAAGAUCUAUUGCUUUGAGUUCCUGGUGGGGAUACCAGAUGGAAAUGGCAGAGAAAACUACUUACCCGGGGGGAAAUAGAAAGAGGUUAUCCCACAAUUCCCCUCAAGGACAAACCUCCAAGAACCUAAACACCUCCCACUAGGCCCAACAAUGGUUCCACUGCCUCCCAACUGUACCGCCCUUGAGGUGGGGCAUACCUUUACUACAUGGAUCUUUGUUGUGAGCCUUAUCCAAACCACGGCAGUGGCUAUGUCCCAGGUUUGGAAAGCUAUUAAAAUGCUGCUGAGCUGGCAUCCAUGAGACCCAUGCCCACUAUACUGUCUCUGAAAGGUCAGGCUGUCUAUCUCUUCCUGGCUCUGGAGACACUGAGCAACUGAGCCAAGACUCUUUGUUUUCACAUGUGGCCUCCUAACUAGCCUGGGAGCCUGUGUCUAGGGUAACAAAAGGAGUCCAGUUAACACAAUUUUGGCCAACAAAACUUGAAUGAAGUGUGGCUUGCAGAUAUUUCUCAGUGAGACUGGCUGACAGAAGCUCACAGUUUCAUUAUAAAGACGGUCUCCAGUGGGUCAUCCAAGCAUGGCUAUGCCCCUACUCACUCUGGAACCCCUGCAAGUAGCUAAUAAGCCUGUCACAGGAGUGCAGAAAUGCUGCUCUGACCUGUUAGAGCCAAAAAAACAAACCUCAUCCAUGAAUGAGAACUGGGCUGAGGGUGGGGCCUGGCAAGGGCCUCCCUGGUUUGAUUAAUUCUUCUGGGAGUCUAGCGUGCUCUAGCUCAUCCCAGGAGACAAGCUUAUUUGACUUUCCUCCUAUGUCUGUGAACUGCUUCAUCAGGAGCCAAAGUCCCUCAGUGAAGACAUCAUUCUUUGAGUAGCAGCAGUGUUACAAAUGUUGAGCUAACACUGAACAUAUCCUGCCCCCGAGAAGCCUUCAGAUUAGCCAGAGUGUAAGUGACAUGAGGGGAGGCAAGACAGGAGACAGACUCAUUAGCGUGCUAUUACUUUGAAAGACAUGCAGCUCUCCUUUGUAAGUAGAGGUCUCUGAUCUGAUAUGGGAGCAUAAUCAUUCUAUGUUCUGAACACAUAAUCCAACAAUAAAGCAUCUCCUGGUGGGAAGUCUGUCCGUGUCACCAUCAAGUACACUUAGCCAUAUUUAAUAAAUGAUAAUGACCAUUGCAGAACAUCUCUGCUGUUUCAGGCACACACAGCUCCUGGGUAAAUGCCGGGAAAGGCAGUCUUGGACCUCCCCAGGGAGUGCGGCAUGUUCCACAAGGGUGGGGCAUUGCAGAAUCUGGGCCUUGACAGGACAUCUAUCUCUCUGUGAUUCUCGUUUCGCCAUUUCCCAGGAAGUGGCAGGUACCUCUGAAGACCACUAGGUGUCGCUGUAAACCUGUGAGAUCCAGGCCUUCCACCGAAACCCAGCAUCCGCUGGGUCUGUUUUCAAUCAACACGUUGUCAGUUUUUCUCCCCAAGGCCCCAGGGGUGUGCUAGGAAUUUUUAUUUCUUGAGAAACCCUGUGAUUCAGCUGCCCUUUGUUGGCCCUGCCUGAGAGAGCAAAGUUGUGCUUGCUCCUGCAGCCCGCUCCAGGCAGAGUGGGAGGGUCCCCGCUGGAGGCUCCAGGCCACCAGCCACAACCCCUGCCUCAGGUCUCUCCUCCCCAUCUUCUUUCCUUUUCAUUCCCCUGUAUCUCUGUCUCCCGUCAGUGGCACUGGUGACCUAGCCCUGUCAAAGCCUCUUUCAACCCUUAGGACCUUCAGGACACCCAGAACCGAGCAUGCGAGCAUGCGGCUGCUUUUCUUCUGAUCCUCUGCCGCUUACCAGCUGGAGGCCUUCGGCAGCCCUCUACCCGAGUAGUUCUCAACCUUCGAAUGCUGCGACUCUUUAAUACAGGUCCUUGUGCUGUGAUGACCCCUCCAGCCGUAAAAUUAUUGUGUUGCUACUUCAUAGCUGUAGUUUUGCUACUGUUAUGAAUCAUAAUGUAAAUAUCCGACAUGCAGG